UAGAGUUUGAUCAUGGCUCAGGAUGAACGCUAGCGACAGGCCUAACACAUGCAAGUCGAGGGGCAUCGGGGCGAGGAGCAAUCCUUGCCGCCGGCGACCGGCGCACGGGUGAGUAACGCGUAUGCGACCUGCCCGUUGCAGGGGGAUAAUCGGGAGAAAUCCCGUCUAAUACCGCGUAAUGCCGCGGGGCUGCAUGGCCCUGCGGCCAAAGGGAGCGAUUCCGGCAACGGAUGGGCAUGCGUGACAUUAGCUAGUUGGCGGGGCAACGGCCCACCAAGGCGACGAUGUCUAGGGGUUCUGAGAGGAAGGUCCCCCACACUGGUACUGAGACACGGACCAGACUCCUACGGGAGGCAGCAGUGAGGAAUAUUGGUCAAUGGGCGCGAGCCUGAACCAGCCAAGUCGCGUGAGGGAUGACGGCCCUACGGGUUGUAAACCUCUUUUGUCGGGGAGCAAAUUCCGCCACGUGUGGCGGAGUCGAGAGUACCCGAAGAAAAAGCAUCGGCUAACUCCGUGCCAGCAGCCGCGGUAAUACGGAGGAUGCGAGCGUUAUCCGGAUUUAUUGGGUUUAAAGGGUGCGUAGGCGGACUGUCAAGUCAGCGGUAAAAUACGGGGGCUCAACCUCCGCCCGCCGUUGAAACUGACGGUCUUGAGUGGGCGAGAAGUAUGCGGAAUGCGUGGUGUAGCGGUGAAAUGCAUAGAUAUCACGCAGAACUCCGAUUGCGAAGGCAGCAUACCGGCGCCCAACUGACGCUGAAGCACGAAAGCGUGGGUAUCGAACAGGAUUAGAUACCCUGGUAGUCCACGCAGUAAACGAUGAAUACUAGCUGUCCGGGGCGAAUGAGCCCUGGGUGGCACAGCGAAAGCGUUAAGUAUUCCACCUGGGGAGUACGCCGGCAACGGUGAAACUCAAAGGAAUUGACGGGGGCCCGCACAAGCGGAGGAACAUGUGGUUUAAUUCGAUGAUACGCGAGGAACCUUACCCGGGCUCAAACGACACAGGAACGUACCUGAAAGGGUUCGGCUCUACGGAGCCUGUGUCGAGGUGCUGCAUGGUUGUCGUCAGCUCGUGCCGUGAGGUGUCGGCUUAAGUGCCAUAACGAGCGCAACCCCCAUCGACAGUUGCUAACAGGUCAGGCUGAGGACUCUGUCGAGACUGCCGGCGCAAGCUGCGAGGAAGGCGGGGAUGACGUCAAAUCAGCACGGCCCUUACGUCCGGGGCGACACACGUGUUACAAUGGCAGGUACAGCGGGAAGCCACCUGGCGACAGGGAGCGGAACCCGAAAGCCUGUCUCAGUUCGGAUUGGAGUCUGCAACCCGACUCCAUGAAGCUGGAUUCGCUAGUAAUCGCGCAUCAGCCACGGCGCGGUGAAUACGUUCCCGGGCCUUGUACACACCGCCCGUCAAGCCAUGGGAGCCGGGGGUGCCUGAAGGCCGUGACCGCGAGGAGCGGCCUAGGGUAAAACUGGUGACUGGGGCUAAGUCGUAACAAGGUAACCGUAA
rnacentral:rRNA from 1 species